rnacentral:misc_RNA from 1 species
AAGUCGUAACAAGGUUUCCGUAGGUGAACCUGCGGAAGGAUCAUUAUCACGUAAUAAUCCACGUUAUCAACCUUUCAAGUGAACUGUUUUGCACUACACUCUUUUUAAUAUUAAUGUGGCAUUUUCUGUUUGGUUUAAUAAUAAUAGUGAUGUGUUGGUUAUUUAUAAUAACCACUUCAUUAUUAUUAUGAACAAGAUUUGCUCUAUAUUAAAAAGUGUGUAUGUAUUUAUCUUAUUUCUUUUUAAACCAAUUGAACCAUACCACUUUUAAGAUUUAUGAACUGAUUUAACGAAAACAACAAAAGUCCAAGAUUGAAAAGUCUUGUCUGACUUAGUUUUCGUUACUAUAUUACGAAAACACUAGAACAACUCUUAGCAACGGAUAUCUUGGCUCUC